ensembl:lncRNA
CUAUGUAGCAGUUUGUUUUAGUCAUUUUUGAAAAAAUUGUUGCUGCUCCAGAAAGUGUUGUGAUUCCCAGCGUAAGCCUGGGUAAGCACAUUUACUUAAGAACACCAUAAAUUGUUAAAACAUCCAUCUGGAAAAUAGCAUUUCUGGUUUGGGAAGACGAUAGACUGCUUAAAAGUAGUCUAGAUUUUUAAUGACUCCUUUAGCUACUACCAUGAUAAAAAACCAAGUGUAAUAUAAUUUCUUAAGGAAAUAGUAGAAUUUUAUUUAUGGAAGAAAUAAUUCUCUUAGAAAAAGUCCUGGGUCAAGCUGAAUCAUUAGCUUCUAUAUUGCAUAUCUGUUAUGCAUUACAGAGUUCACUGUACCUUCAACUUUGCUUUACUAACAUGAACAGUUGAAGAUCCUGUUUUGAAUAUAAAACUUUGAUAUACAAUUUUUUUUGGAACUCUUAAUAAUUGUUGAUAAUUGUUCAUACACUGAUGACCUGAUAAAAUGUAUGACAUCAUUCUCUGUAGAAGCAAACAGAUUAACCUCCAUCCCAAUGCUGAAGCUGUCAAAUUUCUGCUUGAUAUUAAACUAACAAAUACCAUGGUUUAUUUUCUUUACCCAAAAGAGAUCAUGACAAUGUGUCAUAUUGGAGUGACAAAAAAAAUUAGAAACAAGAAAUUCAAGAAAAUCCAAUCUCAUGCAGAUUUUGCCAUAAUCGUGUACUUAUAUUUAUUUAUUGCUUUUGAAAAAAUAAAUGUGUAAAAGUUAAUCAUUAUUUUCUAGUUCUUUCCAAAGAAAAUACUGCCAUCCUACAUUCCCACUGAAAAAUUAUUCACUUAAACCAGCACUGUUAUUUUCAGAGUACUCUCAAUGUAUAAUUAAAAGAAAAUACUGAAAAUUUUAAUGUAUUUGUUAAUACCACAGUUUUAUAUGUAUAGUAUUUACAAGUUUUUCUUACAUUCCUGAAAUUCAGUUUGAUGUAUUAGAGAUAAUAAUGAUAAAAUGGUUUUUUUUAUUAUAAUAGAAAGUAAAGGAGGGAGGGAGGGAAAUGUGCCAUUAAGACAAAACAAACAAAAAAACUUUUCAGAUAUUAUUUCCCUUCAGUGAAGAGGUUAUCAAGAAUUUCAGAGCAACUCUAUCUUAAUUGUCAUAUUUUGUAUUUUUUUCCACAGAUGACAUUGAGUUGCUGAUUUGGGUCUUUGGAUUUGAUUAGUUGUAUGUUGUAGUAUUUCCCGGACAGCCUGAAUUUGUACUGACUGAAACUCAAUACCCUUUUAUGGAUUACAUCUUAAGAAAAAUUAAAAGAACCUAAACACCUUAGUUUUUGAUGCAUGAAUAGUCCGUUCUGCAUAUAAGAAAUCUUUAUCAUCUCUGGCAAAAGAGACAGGACAGAGAAUGGACACAAGCUGGGCUAUAUUCUAUCUGCAGAUUUUCCUGCACUUAGUCCCUUCCCACUGUGUAAUGCAAGGCAAACAGACGGGUUUCAGAGUUUCAUGUGUAUGUUACAAGCAUUUAAAUUCACUUUAUAGUUUUAUUUCUAAGAAUCUCUUACAUGUAUAUGUAUGUUUAUAUAUGUGCAUACAUAUGUGUGUAUACAUGCAUACAUCUCUUAAAACACCCUACACCCAAAGAAAACCCAAGUCCAAAUUGCAGUAAACAUCAUGAUUCACUGGCUAAUAUUUAUAUCGGUUACAAUCCAUGCUUGGGAAGUGAGAAUUUCCAUUAUAUAGAUGAGUAUAAUUAGAGUGAGGCUUCAGUUUACAACUAGGAUUUGGAAUGUAUCUUGUUUUCCUUGUUGAAUUUUCUGUGUCCUCACCUAUUUGUCCUGCAUUUGGAAUAGAACUCUUCCCUUUUAGUCCCAAUCUGCUCAAACUUGUUGAUAUUAGAUUAGCUGGCUGAUAUUAAUCAUUUUGGACUUAAAAGCCAUAACAUGAUUAUGUGAAUUGUUUGUUUUGAUUCCAAGCAUUUUGUUUAUGAGUCAUAAAUCAGAAUUCUAUUUACCUAGAGAUAGAGAGUCUUAUUGUGUAGGCAGGCUUAAGAAAAUCUGUGCAAAAAGUUGAACAUAAACUGGGAAGGAAGGGGAGUCCAAGUGGAUUUCAUUAGAGCUGUCAUAAAACUGCAAAAAAGAUUCAUGAUUAUUUCCAGAACGAUUCUUAAACAGUCAUGACUUUUAGUAAAAUACAUUUUGUACUGCCUUUCAAAUACUUGUUUUAAUGUUUUCCUGUUUGAUGUGCCAGGUGAUUCAAAGCCCACAAAAAAGAAUUAUAUGCUUAGACUUCUUUGUUAAUCAUGCAGUAGUUUAAUUGAAAAUUUGAUGUUAAAACUUUCUAGUAUAUGAUUUAAUUUAAUGAGCCACCCAGAGUAUCUGUACAGUUUUGUAGUAGAGAAAGAAUAGUUUAGCCUUUAACAGAGCUGAAGAUUUAGAAUCCUGAAGUGUUGGGGUUCUAAAAAGUAGCCUUCUACCUUUUUUUGGUCAAAUAGAUAGAUUGCCUGUGCCUCAGUUUUAAUCUAUAAAUGGAAAAAAUCUUUGUCUUUUGGACCUAUGAGUAAAUGGCACAGUAUAAGCACAAAGUAUUAUUUAUAGUAGUCCACAUGUAUUGUGUACACUUUUAACUGAAGUGCUUUUUGAGAACCAUUUUCCAUUCAACCAUGUCAUUUUGGAGUAAAAUUGCUUGCUGAAAGAUUUGUUUCCAGGUCAACUUUUUUGUGUAGUUAUAUGUGUUGUAUUAUCUUCUCUUGUUAAGAUGUGGUAUUUCCCUAAAGUAUUUUUCAGAAUGCUUUUAUACUGUGAAAGGUGCAGUGAGAGAUGGGUCUUGUCAAAACAGGUGCAUCUGGUGGAAAACAUUUAGCAAUCUAUUUUUUAUUCAAAUCUCUUUCAUAGAUUAAAAAAAUUAAAUUAUGUAUACCUGCUGUCAAUGGAAUAAAGUCAUCAAGAUUCAAGUAUGUGUUUAUGAAUUUUUCUAUAAAUAGAAAGACAACCAUCUCUCUUCACUUAGAGACCUUUGGGGAUUUGGCUGCCCCAUAUUCUUCAAGUGCUCUCAUUCUCAUUGUUAUUUCUGAUUAUUGGUGUAAAGUGUUAUUUAAUAAAGUGUGGUUAAAUUCUUGGUUUUUUUUUUUUUUUAAGUGACUGCAGAGAGAAAAACAACUUAAUGGAAUCUGAUAAUUCUUGCUGAAUUCUUUAAUUGAGCCAAAUAAAUCUUCAUUCAGUGAAUUUCUAAACUAAAAUUCAGUUUUCUUUAGCCCUUAUCUAAAGUCAUAAUUUGAUAUUCUAAUGUGACUCCUAAUAUUGAU